GCUUAAUUAAUGUUUCUUUCUAUUUUGUACCCCUUCUGCCACCAUUCCAUCCCUGGUUUUCUAGAAUGUAAAAAGCUUGGGUUUCAUUCAUUUUAGACAGAGAGAGAGCGAGCAGCGUCAGAGAGGAUGCAGGAGAUAGAGAAAGACCGAUGAAAGGAAGAGGAAGCCGGCCACCCCAAGCCGAUGAAGGGGAUGAUGGCGAUGGCUUAGGGCUGAGGUCGAUAACCAGAUUCGCAGCGAUAGCAACUAGGGUUUCGGAUUAGGGGUUUUGAAACCAGAUCAUGGAGGUGUUGGGGACGAUAUCAACCUUUAAGCACCAAGAAACCAAUCGUCGAACAAAACUUUUAAAACCCUUACACCACUCUCUUCCCUAUGAAUAUUGGCGAUCGAACAUACAUUUUUCUUCUUAAAAAGUUAAAGCAUAUCAGAUUCGUAACAGGUUACACUUUUUGGUCCAGAUAAGUGUGUGGUUUGAUUGAAGUUGCAAGAGUGUAUAUUCUGACCAGUUGAAUUUCUGUUUUGGAGUGGCCGAGUGGGAACAUCAGUAUACCAAAUUGAAGGUGCAUAUCUUGCAAAUGGCACCAUUUGUAAUGGUCACAAUGGAUUCGUAGCUGAUAAUGAGAGAUGAGUAUCACCAAAAUAUCUGAAAGAUGUUGAGAUCAUACAAUCUGUUGGUGUGGGUGCUUAGCGCUUCUCUCUAUAAUGGUCAAGAAUUCUUCCAGGUAUGAUAUGCAACUGAAAAAAAUGUUAAAAAACACCAAAUAUGUUUGUUUGUUAAUCAUCUUGCAUUGUUGGUUUUUUUCGAGUUUAUCGAAUGUUCCCCAUCUUUGAGUGGGGCUACACGGGUCAACCCGUGGGAUGUUGACUGGGUUGCAGAUGCACUGGAUUGUGCCUUGGAGCUGAGUGACCCCGACAUCAGACAUUAUAGGUAUGUGAGUACUCAUGAUGUCGGCUAUUGGGCCGUAGCUUUAUGCAAGAGUUGAAAAGAACAUGCAAUGAUCAUGUGAGAAAAAGGUGUUGGGGGAUACGGUUCGGGUUGAGUUUUUAGAGUUGUCGCUUUACAUCCGAAUUCUAAGAAGCUAUCAAUGGAGCAUAUAGUUUCGGCUUUUAAAUGAACUACAACAAGGGCGAUUCUUUUGGAUUAUGAUGGCACUUUGAUGCCUCAAUCUUCCAUCGAUAAAAGCCCGAGUUCUAAAACGAUAGAGAUGCUCAAUACUUUGUGUAGAGACAAGAUCAACAUGAUUUUUGUUGAGAGGGCAAGGAGAUGAAAUACAUUAGGCGAAUGGUUUGCUUCUUUUGAAAAAGUCAGGCUUGCAACAGAGCAUGGGUGUUUUCUUAGGUGCUUAACCACUUGUACAGUUGUAGUCUUUUAAGUUGACAAUAUGCAUGUUCAUCAAAUGGUCGUAGAUUUGUUGAUUUUUUCAGGUUGAAAAGUAUAAACUUAACAAUUGUGGUAUAUAUAGAGGAUUUAAAAACUAA